rnacentral:rRNA from 1 species
CGCUGGCGGCGUGCCUAAUACAUGCAAGUCGAGCGAACGGACGAGAAGCUUGCUUCUCUGAUGUUAGCGGCGGACGGGUGAGUAACACGUGGAUAACCUACCUAUAAGACUGGGAUAACUUCGGGAAACCGGAGCUAAUACCGGAUAAUAUUUUGAACCGCAUGGUUCAAAAGUGAAAGACGGUCUUGCUGUCACUUAUAGAUGGAUCCGCGCUGCAUUAGCUAGUUGGUAAGGUAACGGCUUACCAAGGCAGCGAUGCAUAGCCGACCUGAGAGGGUGAUCGGCCACACUGGAACUGAGACACGGUCCAGACUCCUACGGGAGGCAGCAGUAGGGAAUCUUCCGCAAUGGGCGAAAGCCUGACGGAGCAACGCCGCGUGAGUGAUGAAGGUCUUCGGAUCGUAAAACUCUGUUAUUAGGGAAGAACAUAUGUGUAAGUAACUGUGCACAUCUUGACGGUACCUAAUCAGAAAGCCGCGGCUAACUACGUGCCAGCAGCCGCGGUAAUACGUAGGUGGCAAGCGUUAUCCGGAAUUAUUGGGCGUAAAGCGCGCGUAGGCGGUUUUUUAAGUCUGAUGUGAAAGCCCACGGCUCAACCGUGGAGGGUCAUUGGAAACUGGAAAACUUGAGUGCAGAAGAGGAAAGUGGAAUUCCAUGUGUAGCGGUGAAAUGCGCAGAGAUAUGGAGGAACACCAGUGGCGAAGGCGACUUUCUGGUCUGUAACUGACGCUGAUGUGCGAAAGC